rnacentral:rRNA from 1 species
UAACACGUGAGCAACCUGCCUUUCANAGGGGGAUAACAGUUGGAAACGACUGCUAAUACCGCAUAACGCUGCGAUGGGGCAUCCCGAUGCAGCCAAAGGAGCAAUCCGCUGGAAGAUGGGCUCGCGGCCGAUUAGCUAGUUGGUGGGGCAACGGCCCACCAAGGCGACGAUCGGUAGCCGGACUGAGAGGUUGAUCGGCCACAUUGGGACUGAGACACGGCCCAGACUCCUACGGGAGGCAGCAG